CCGGCCCUGGCAGGUGUUUUACCGGCCGAGUGGCAACCCUACCUACUGCUCACAGCCUGAACAACUAAGGAUCCUGACAGUCCUGAAAACCUCAAUUAUUGUUUACACUUACAAAGCAAUCUGUGAGUUUUCCCUCUGUCCCUAACUCUUUGUCCCUCCCUUGUGCUCUCUAAUCCAAUCAUUCGUCUCUGCUGCUCUCUGUACCGCCCACACUCCACUCACAGCCAAUGAGCAAGUGUCUCAGCUCCUUCCCCCACUUCCUUCCUCACAGCUACAGGAAGCAACAGAGCAGCGAGGGGACACCGCGUCACUUCCAGCUCAGUCCCUCCCACAAGGAGCCAAUGGGAAUGUGGGAGGAAGCGAGUGACACAGGGAUGAAGGGGAAGAAGAAGAA